UUCCCGUUACACGACAACAAGCAAAGAGGGGCAGCUGUACAAGCUCAUUUUUGCCCGGGGCCCAAAACCCACACAUUAAACCCAACUACCCCCAAACCCAACAGCAGCCCAACACCAAAUCAAAGAAAAAGAAAAAAACCCUAGCCACCUAGGUCUUCAGCCUCCAGCGCCGCAAGUCACGGCCACCUGCCCUUCUGACACCACCCACCGCCACCAACUCGCCCACUUGCCUUUCAAUCACCUGCAAAAUGGAGCAAACACGCAAGAACAACAGAAAACGCAAGAGAAAUAGUAAAAAUAAC
rnacentral:lncRNA from 1 species